rnacentral:rRNA from 1 species
GUUUAUGGCCAUACCAUCCUGAACACACCUGAUCUCGCCUAAUUUCAGAAGCUAAGCAGGGUGGGGCCUGGUUAGUACUUGGAUGGGAGAACUAACAGGGAAUAUAGUUU